rnacentral:rRNA from 1 species
UGACGCACAGCCUGAUCCAGCCAUACCGCGUGGGUGAAGAAGGCCUUCGGGUUGUAAAGCCCUUUUGUUGGGAAAGAAAUCCAGCCGGCUAAUACCUGGUUGGGAUGACGGUACCCAAAGAAUAAGCACCGGCUAACUUCGUGCCAGCAGCCGCGGUAAUACGAAGGGUGCAAGCGUUACUCGGAAUUACUGGGCGUAAAGCGUGCGUAGGUGGUUGUUUAAGUCUGUUGUGAAAGCCCUGGGCUCAACCUGGGAACUGCAGUGGAAACUGGACAACUAGAGUGUGGUAGAGGGUAGCGGAAUUCCCGGUGUAGCAGUGAAAUGCGUAGAGAUCGGGAGGAACAUCCAUGGCGAAGGCAGCUACCUGGACCAACACUGACACUGAGGCACGAAAGCGUGGGGAGCAAACAGGAUUAGAUACCCUGGUAGUCCACGCCCUAAACGAUGCGAACUGGAUGUUGGGUGCAAUUUGGCACGCAGUAUCGAAGCUAACGCGUUAAGUUCGCCGCCUGGGGAGUACGGUCGCAAGACUGAAACUCAAAUGAAAUUGACG